AGCUUGCUUCUCUUGAGAGCGGCNGACNGGUGAGUAAUGCCUANGAAUCUGCCUGGUAGUGGGGGAUAACGUUCGGAAACGGACGCUNAUACNGCAUACUUCCUACGGGAGANAGCAGGGGACCUUCCGGCCUUGCGCUAUCAGAUGAGCCUANGUCGGAUUAGCUAGUUGGUGGGGUAAUGGCUCACCAAGGCGACGAUCCGUAACUGGUCUGAGAGGAUGAUCAGUCACACUGGAACUGAGACACGGUCCAGACUCCUACCGGGAGGCAGCAAGUGGGGAAUAUUUGGACAAUUGGGCGAAAAGCCUGAUCCAGCCAUUGCCGCGUGUGUGAAGAAGGUCUUCGGAUUGUAAAGCACUUUAAGUUGGGAGGAAGGGCAGUUACCUAAUACGUGAUUGUUUUGACGUUACCGACAGAAUAAGCACCGGCUAACUCUGUGCCAGCAGCCGCGGUAAUACAGAGGGUGCAAGCGUUAAUCGGAAUUACUGGGCGUAAAGCGCGCGUAGGUGGUUUGUUAAGUUGGAUGUGAAAUCCCCCGGGCUCAACCUUGGGAACUGCAUUCAAAACUGACUGACUAGAGUAUGGUAGAGGGGUGGUGGAAUUUCCUUGUGUAGCCGGUGAAAUUGCGUAGAUAUAGGGAAGGAACACCAGUUGGCGAAAGGCGACCACCUUGGACUAAUACUUGACACUGGAGGUGCGAAAAGCGUGGGGGAGCAAACAGGAUUAGAUACCCUGGUAGUCCACGCCGUAAACGAUGUCAACUAGCCGUUGGAAGCCUUGAGCUUUUAGUGGCGCAGCUAACGCAUUAAGUUGACCGCCUGGGGAGUACGGCCGCAAGGUUAAAACUCAAAUGAAUUGACGGGGGCCCGCACAAGCGGUGGAGCAUGUGGUUUAAUUCGAAGCAACGCGAAGAACCUUACCAGGCCUUGACAUCCAAUGAACUUUCUAGAGAUAGAUUGGUGCCUUCGGGAACAUUGAGACAGGUGCUGCAUGGCUGUCGUCAGCUCGUGUCGUGAGAUGUUGGGUUAAGUCCCGUAACGAGCGCAACCCUUGUCCUUAGUUACCAGCACGUNAUGGUGGGCACUCUAAGGAGACUGCCGGUGACAAACCGGAGGAAGGUGGGGANGACGUCAAGUCAUCAUGGCC
rnacentral:rRNA from 1 species